UCUCUGUCUGUCAAAUAAAUAAAUAAAAUCUUAAAAAAGGGGGGGGAGGCAAAAAUAAUUCUUAACAUUUGUAAGUUUGUAAUAACUGCUUACAACAUAAAUUAGAAGUUUUUAAUCAAUAUUAAAAUUCAAAAAGUUCUGAUUUUUUGAAAUAUUUGUG